rnacentral:rRNA from 1 species
CGCAGUAGGAUAGGCGAAGCGUGCUGUUGGAGUGCACGUCCAAGCAGUGAGAUUGAGUGUUAGGCAAAUCCGGCACUCUUAAGAUUGAGCUGUGAUGGGGAGAGGAACUUGUUCCUCGAGUCGUUGAUUUCACACUGCCGAGAAAAGCCUCUAGCUAGAAUAACGGUGCCCGUACCGCAAACCGACACAGGUAGUCAAGAUGAGAAUUCUAAGGUGAGCGAGCGAACUCUCGUUAAGGAACUCGGCAAAAUGACCCCGUAACUUCGGGAGAAGGGGUGCUCUUUGAGGUUCACGCUUCGAAGAGCCGCAGUGAAUAGGCCCAAGCGACUGUUUAUCAAAAACACAGGUCUCUGCUAAACCGUAAGGUGACGUAUAGGGGCUGACGCCUGCCCGGUGCUGGAAGGUUAAGAGGAGUGGUUAGCGCAAGCGAAGCUACGAAUCGAAGCCCCAGUAAACGGCGGCCGUAACUAUAACGGUCCUAAGGUAGCGAAAUUCCUUGUCGGGUAAGUUCCGACCCGCACGAAAGGCGUAACGAUUUGGGCACUGUCUCAACGAGAGACUCGGUGAAAUCAUAGUACCGGUGAAGAUGCCGGUUACCCGCGACAGGACGGAAAGACCCCGUGGAGCUUUACUGUAGCCUGAUAUUGAAAUUCGGUACAGUUUGUACAGGAUAGGUAGGAGCCUUAGAAGCGUGAGCGCUAGCUUACGUGGAGGCAUUGGUGGGAUACUACCCUAAUUGUAUUGGAUUUCUAACCCGCAGCACUUAUCGUGCUGGGAGACAGUGUCAGGCGGGCAGUUUGACUGGGGCGGUCGCCUCCUAAAGAGUAACGGAGGCGCUCAAAGGUUCCCUCAGAAUGGUUGGAAAUCAUUCAUAGAGUGUAAAGGCAUAAGGGAGCUUGACUGCGAGACCUACAAGUCGAGCAGGGUCGAAAGACGGACUUAGUGAUCCGGUGGUUCCGCAUGGAAGGGCCAUCGCUCAACGGAUAAAAGCUACCCCGGGGAUAACAGGCUUAUCUCCCCCAAGAGUUCACAUCGACGGGGAGGUUUGGCACCUCGAUGUCGGCU